rnacentral:lncRNA from 1 species
CGCGGUACGAUUCAGAAUUCGGCAAAUGUUGAAACAAAGAGUUUUAAAAUUUUGCAGGCACUACGACAACUAAACAUGCGCGAAAGCGUAUAAGACACGGAUCGAUAACGGUCUCCAAAAUUGUAUAUAUUCUCGAAAUAAUACGUUUUCUGUUGACAAAAUAUUGUUUCAAAGACAACAUUUUGAAGUUCAACAUGCUACACAUAUACGUCAUAUCACAAACAUUCUUUGUAUGGUUUUAAGGACGUUGCAGCUCAAUGUAAUCGGUAUCUUCCUUUAAAAGUAUAGAAACACAGCAUACACUGUAUAAAUCACUUAUUUAUCUAUUGCAGGUUUUCCUUUUUUUGAUUUACAUCUGCUGUAAAGGUAAACAAGGUAAUUUUGCUAUAUGAAAUCAAUGAAACAGUACAUUAACAAAUCGUACCGUCGCAUGAUAUGAUACACCACAAGGAUCAGAAGCGAAUUUUAGGCAGAACGGGAUAUUCAAUUUGUAUUUCAGUGUCACAUUGAUUAGUCUUAACUAGUUAUAUAUUGGUUAAGUUAUCAAUAUGCACAUACAGUGGACAAUGAGUUGUAAUCAAUUGACGUCUACGUGGAAUCAAUACUAUUGAUUAACGUAUAUAUAACUUCUUUCUGUAGAGCAAAACCAAACAAUUUUCAAAAAUGUCUUCGAGUUUAUUUUAAAAGUUCGGAAAGAUUUCAAAUUGUCUAGAUAGCAAACUACGAUCGCACACCCAUGAUCAUCUAAGUAAAAUUCUUCCCCCUUUUUUGUCCUUUUUCUUUUUUCUUUUUUUAAUCUUGUAUAAUUUUUUGGUGUUGGUUUUCGAAAUAUUCAUUUAUUUUUUUAUUUUUUUUUCUGUAUUAUUAUUAUUUUCUUUUUCUUCAAUUUUCAGUCUUU